GGAUUGUGGCUCAGCGGUAGAGUGCUCGUCUUGCACACGCGGGACCCUGGAUUCAAUCCUCAGCACCA
rnacentral:tRNA from 1 species